CUUGGUCAUUUAGAGGAAGUAAAAGUCGUAACAAGGUUUCCGUAGGUGAACCUGCGGAAGGAUCAUUAUUGAAUAUGCUUGAUGGGUUGUCGCUGGCCUUUCGAGGCAUGUGCACGCCUGUCUUGACUCCAUUCAUCCACCUGUGCACCUAAUGUAGUCUUAUCUUCUGAGGGCGUUGUAGGAAGCCGGCUUAAGCCUGUGCGGAAUCGCGCCUCGACGAAGUAGUAGGGCUAUGUCUUUAUCACAAACCAUGUAGUAUGUUGCCAGAAUGUAUCAAUGGGCCUCUGUGCCUAUAAAAUCUUAUACAACUUUCAGCAACGGAUCUCUUGGCUCUCGCAUCGAUGAAGAACGCAGCGAAAUGCGAUAAGUAAUGUGAAUUGCAGAAUUCAGUGAAUCAUCGAAUCUUUGAACGCACCUUGCGCUCCUUGGUAUUCCGAGGAGCAUGCCUGUUUGAGUGUCAGUAAAUUCUCAACUCCUUCAGCUUUUAUUAGUUGAACGGGGCUUGGAUGUGGAGGUCGUGCGGGCCCUUCAAUGGGUCGGCUCCUCUGAAAUACAUUAGCGGAACCGUUUGCGAUCCGUACAGGUGUGAUAAUUAUCUACGCCUAGUGGGUUGCUCUCUGUGUUGUUCAGCUUCUAACCGUCCCCGCAAAGGACAAGCUUCAUUACUGAACCUUUGACCUCAAAUCACGUAGGAUUACCCGCUGAACUUAAGCAUAUCAAUAAGCGGAGGA
rnacentral:rRNA from 1 species